rnacentral:miRNA from 1 species
AAGGCCAGUGCUCAGGGGACA